CCUCCGGCCCCGCCGGCGCCGCGCGCUCCAAAUCCGGCUCCCGGCCAGCGCCGGCUCGCAGUGCUGAUGCGCCCGCGGACCCGCCCCUUACCUGGGCCGCGCCCCGCGCUCCUCCUUAAAGGGGCCGUGCCCAGCCGCUGCCCUGCCAUCCGCGGCUACCCUAACUCCACCUGCUCUUGCUCCUCGUCCCCCGAGGGAGCGGACAAGUCCAGGAAGAGGACCGUGCGCGGGAAGAAGUCUGGAUUCCACCUGCUAAUUGUGUACAAAAACCUGAAGAAAGUAAAGUAACUGCAAGGCAUGGGACCUGAGCUAGUGGAGCCCCUGGGCUGCCUAUUUCUUUCCCAGUGGAGAAAAGAACUGAGCCUUACCCCAUCUAGACUGCCAGAGCCUGCUGUGAAACAGGUGAGACCACUUUCUGGUUGGUGUACCUUAAGGUAGUAUCUCCAGAGUGUGGUGUUCAGUACUGACAUAUCUCAGAGGGGAAGAGGGGGGAAGAUGGGAAGAGAUUAACCAAAGAACUUAUAUACAUACUAGAGACCUAUUGCACGAAAUUCAUGCACAGAGGGGGGAGUCCCUCAGCCCGGCCUGCGCCCUUUCUCAGUCCAAGAGCCCUUGGGGGAUGUCCAACUUUUGAACUUAUAAGCUGUCAAUCAGACAUCCUUAGCGCUGCUGUGGAGGUGGGAGAGGCUCCUGCCACUGCUGCUGUGCUCCGCAGCCAUGAGCCCGGCUUCUGGCUGAGCAGUGCUCCCCCUGUGGGAGUGCACUGACCAUCAGGGGGCAGCUCCUGCGUUGAGUGUCUGCCCCCUGGUGGUCAGUGCAUGUCACAGCGACCAGUCAUUCUGCCAUUCAGGCAAUGUGCAUAUUAGCCUUUUAUUAUAUAGGAUAUGCAUAACUAGUGGACACAGACAAUAGUGUGGUGAAAGCCUGUGGUGGGGCAGCCCUGGGAGGAGGAGGGCAAAAGGGGGCAACUUGGAGGACAUUUGUAAUACUGUGAACAAUUUAAAAAAAUAAGGGGAGCUAGAUAAUUAAAGAGAAGAGACUUUCUGUCCUCCAUAGCUAUUGCUCCACAUGGCAGGAAGGAUAGAGAAUAAUUAGGAUGGAGAAUAAACUCUCUGACUUGUAAUUUUGCCCCUUAAAGUUUGCAUAUUAUCUAUGGCUGCAUAACAAGUUGUCCUAAAACUUCUGUGAUUCAGGAAUCCAGGAACAGCUCAGUUGAGUGCCUCUGUGUCAAGAUCUCUCACAAGACUGCAGUGAAGGUGUUAGCUGGGGCUGCAGUCCUAGUUCAUGCCUGACUGGAAAAGGGUCUGUUUCUAAGGUUACUCACAAAGCUGUUGGCAGGACUCAGCCCUCAAGGGCUGUUGGACAGAGGGCCUUGGUUCUUUGCUGGCUGGAGGCCACCCUCUUGGCUAUGUGGGCCUCUCCAUAAGGCAACCCACAACAUGGCAGCUGCCUUCCAUCAGAGUGAGCAGGUGAGAGAGAAGGAGAUAGGGAAUAAGAAAAACAGAAAGAGAUCGAUGGAAGCCAACGUGUUUUUACCUAAUCUCAGAUGUGACAUUCCAUCGAUAUUGCCAUAUUCUGUUCAUUAGAAGUGAGUCACUUGGCUCAACCCACAAUCAAGGGAAUGAAGACCAGUAGCUAUCUAGUUCAAACCCCAAUUAAUGCCAAAGUUAUGCUAUUUCACCUUUGCAGAGCUCUCCCCUUCCCCAUAUCUGAGAUCCUCACCCACCAGGACUGAGUUAAGUGGCCCUUGAGCUGCCUCUAUGAUACCCUGGGCUUCUCCAUCAUAGCCUCCACCACACCAAUUACAGGGGCACAGUCUGCCUCCCACCCCUUCUGCAAGCUCUGUGCGGGCAGCAGCCUUGUCUCUUCUCCUCACUGAUGUGGACGCAGCCCUAAACUUAAGGCACUUAGUAUAUGUGUCGUCAAUUUAUUAACUUGAUGUUCUUUGUAAGACGGCUCCGUUUUCUCUUUCUUCUGAUUAAAACUGAAGUUUUAUUCUGAAAUCAUACAAAUGUUCACCUACAUUUUGUUCCUGCUUUGUGUGUUAAAACUGGUUAAAACUCCUCAGUUGGCUUUUUAUUACAAAAAGUAGGGAGUCCAGACUCAGAAUGGCUUUCGAAUAAGUCCCAUGUAUUGUCACUCCCUGACAAUGUGUGUCUCUCAAAUUGAUGUCUCUCUCCCCCUCCCUUCCACUCUCUCUAAAAAAAUCAAUGGGAAAAAUAUCCUGGAGUGAGGAUUAACAACAACAAAAGAAUCCAUAAGUAAAAAAAUAAAAAUCGGGGUUUUAUAUGUUUUAUAGCCCUUUAAAUUUUAUGGUUUUUUUCUAAAAUGCUUAAAGAAUUUAAAGUCUUUAUAUUUAGUUUGUCAGUGAUUAUAUUUUUCAUUAUGAAAUUUGGUAUUCAAAUUUUGCUUUGUGAUUUUCAUAGUAAUUAAAUUCUGAAAUCAUAGAAAUAUUCACCUACAUUUUGUUCUUGCUUUGUGUGUAAAUUUUUACAUAAAACUUACCAUUCUGGAAUGUAUUCUGAUGUAAGCUGUGCUAUAAGGAUUUAACUUUUUGCCCCAAAUAAGUAACCAAUUACUUCAGCAUAAUUUUUAAAUCAUGUUUCCUUUGUCUAUUGAAUUGAGGUGUCAUCUUUGUCAUAUAUAAAUGAAGUUUUAUGCUGUUGUGUUUUGCUUACUCUGUUCUGUAAAUCAAUCUGAAUAUUCCCACACCAACACCUCCUUAUUUACAAGUAUUUUAUAAUCACUUACAUCAUAAUAUUAGAAUCUGUUUUUCCAUAAACUUGCCAUGAUUAAGACAAAUAGGCCUUCUUUCAAACAGACUGUGGUGGUUUUAAAAUAUGUCCAUAAAUUCUUUGUUACCUCUUCCUUUAUAAGGAUCUCCUUAUACCCUUCCCUUUGAGCAUGGACUGUACUUACUAACUUAUUUUUAACAAACAGAAUGUGGAAGAAGUGAUACAUAUGACUUCUGAACCCAGUCAUCAGAGAUAUUGUGACCUCUCUCUGGGAGAAGCUGACAUGUCCUGAGAACAAUCAAGAAACCCUAUAGAGCCCUAGCCAGUUUGGCUCAGUGGAUAGAGCAUUGGUCCUCAGACUGAAGGGUCUCAGGUUCCAUUCCAGGUCAAGGGCACAUACCUUGGUUGCAGGCUGCAUCCUGGUCAGGGUGCAUCCCAACCCAGCGAGUGCAGGAGGCAACACAUCCAUGUGUCUCUCCCACAUCAAUGUUUCUUUCUGUCUGUCCCUCUCCCUUCCACUCUCUCUAAAAAUCAAUGGAAAAAUGUCCUUGGGUGAGGAUUAACAACAAUAACAAAAACAGGCAACUGGCCAGAUUCAACGAAGGGCUAUAGUUAGCCAACCCUUGGUUCAUAGGGCACCAAUUCUUUGAGACUUGAGGUUACCUAGCACAAGUUUUGUAGCACUCCAUGCAUACUUGCAAACCAAUUAAUUACCAUCUUAUCCUUGGACUGUUCCACUUCUUUAAGGUUCAGGCCCAGCACAUGUAAACAUUUGCUUUUGUUAAAUUGUCACAGGAUUAACAGAUUGGGUGUUUGGAAUCAGACGAAUCUCAGUUGCCAGCUUUGCCACUUGCCAAUAGGUGGUUUGGGACAAAUUACUUAACAUCUCUAAU